GGAAGAGGAAACGAUGGGCAACAACAGACUCCGCACGAAAGGAGGGAGAAAGGCUCAGAAUGUUGGCGGGUCGUGAGAUGUGCCUCAGUGGGAAGGUCCGCACAGGGCCAGGGGAGCCCUGCGUGUUUGUUUGAUGGAAACGGAUUACUGGAAAACUGGACGGAAGCUCCGGACUCCAUCGGUGGCCGUCAUCCGGUGCAACCACAGGGGCUUUUAGUGCCUGAGUUUUUCGUGGGAAGAGAGCAACUUCAAGGCUGAAGAAAGGAGGCUUGUAGAAAAUUCCAAUUCCGAAAUGGUGCACAUCCCUUCCAUCAAAGCAUCUCAAAUCCAGUUGCUGCUGCUGACUUAUUGAUGGACGUUGUCCAGUGGCCUUAGGGAGGCAGUGGGCAGCCCAGCCAGGGCCUGUAAUAAGGAGAGACAGCCCAGCAUCCUCCCUGCCGUGAAUAAUAGAACAAAAACUGCCGGCACCUGCAGGAUCAAAGCGCAGAGGCAAGAGUGUCUCUGGAUUAAAUAGAUCAGCAGGGUGGUGGUGGACUUUCUGGGAGGGAAGUCUGGGCUGCAGAGGAACCUUCAGCUGGAGAGGGAAUUGCUGUGCCUUACACAUGCAAGACCAGGGCUCCUUCUAUUCCUGCCCAGGGCCCAGGGCCCAGGGCCGGGGUGGGUGGCCCUUCCCGCCGUCCUUCCUCUCCACCCCACCCCCAAAGGCUAUAGAGCUGGAGUGGGAGAAGAUACUGCACUAGGAGAAAGGACACAGGGAUCCCUGACCUGAGGCCUCAGUCUCCUUUUGUGUAAAGCAAGGAAGAUGAAAUAGUCUAGAACUUUCUUCCAGCUUUCAUAAGCUGUGCUUCUCUAAAAAGAGGCAGAGAGGAUCUAUUGCUUAGGCUCCCUGAUCAAUUACGUCGAGGCCCGCACCCACUUGCCAGCAGAGAAGCUAGCAGCAGUUUUAGAGUAGUUUUUUUUGGGGGGGAUGAAUUAUCAUGAAAAGAUUUUCAUCUUACAAGAAUAUUUUGAGAUGCUAAUGUCUGUGCCUUUAAAUACAUAUGUAGUUCUGGAGCAGAAACCCCUGGUGGUAUGAGGAGCUCUGGGCAGGCUUGCAGAUGUGUCAGCGAAGAAGAUCCCCAGGGUCCUUAAUGCCUUUAAGAACCACACCCUGACCACAGCUGCCUUUGAGCUAAUGGACGAGGUAAGUGUAUCAUUAGAGGAAAAAACAUGCCAGUCUGCAAAUCGUUCUUUUUGCUAGUGGAGAGUCAUUGAAAACCUUGGUUAUUCUGUGAGUAUGAGGGCCUGCAGACAGGUGAGGAAUCUCAGAACAGAGUGGGGAGAAAAUCAGACUCUUAUUAAGUCAGAAACUCUCACGUUUUACAUAAACCCAAAACUUGCAUAGGGAACCCAGUGGGCAGUCCAUCCAGACAGAGUGUGUACAUGGGUUUACACACAAGUGCAGCUCCACACACGCACCACACAGACCUGUGUGAUGGCACACCUGGGCACACGUGGAUGCUGAACAUCCUCACAGAUACAUCCAGUGCAGGACAGAGACCCAGUGUUAUGGGUUGAACUGUGCCCCCCAAAAGAUGUGCUCAAGCCUCAACCUUGGCACCUGUGAGUGUGGCUUAACUUGGAAACAGGCUCUUUGCAGCUGUAAGCAGGUUAAAACGAGGUCAUACUGGAGCAGGCGGGCCCCGGUCCAAUGUGACAGGUGCGUUGAUAUGAAAAGGAGCCUUUGGACACAGCAGAUCCACAGAGCGACGACAGCCACGUGAAGGUGGAGGCAGAGAUGGGAGUGAUUCUGCUGUAAGCCACGGAACACCUGAGGCUCCCAGAAGCUGGAAGAGGCAAGGAAGUAUAGAGGCUUUGGAGGGAGCAUGACUCUGCAACACCUUGAUUCUGGACUUCUACUUCCCCAACUAUGAGAAAAUAAAUGUCUCUUGU